rnacentral:rRNA from 1 species
UACGUAGGGUGCGAGCGUUGUCCGGAAUUAUUGGGCGUAAAGAGCUUGUAGGCGGUUUGUCGCGUCUGCUGUGAAAAUCCGGGGCUCAACCCCGGACUUGCAGUGGGUACGGGCAGACUAGAGUGUGGUAGGGGAGACUGGAAUUCCUGGUGUAGCGGUGAAAUGCGCAGAUAUCAGGAGGAACACCGAUGGCGAAGGCAGGUCUCUGGGCCGAUACUGACGCUGAGGGGCGAAAGCGUGGGGAGCGAACAGG